GACGAACGCUGGCGGCGUGCUUAACACAUGCAAGUCGAACGGAAAGGCCCUGCUUUUGUGGGGUGCUCGAGUGGCGAACGGGUGAGUAACACGUGAGUAACCUGCCCUUGACUUUGGGAUAACUUCAGGAAACUGGGGCUAAUACCGGAUAGGAGCUCCUGCUGCAUGGUGGGGGUUGGAAAGUUUCGGCGGUUGGGGAUGGACUCGCGGCUUAUCAGCUUGUUGGUGGGGUAGUGGCUUACCAAGGCUUUGACGGGUAGCCGGCCUGAGAGGGUGACCGGCCACAUUGGGACUGAGAUACGACCCAGACUCCUACAGGAGGCAGCAGUGUUGAAUAUUACACAAUGGGCGGAAGCCUGAUGCAGCAACGCCGCGUGCGGGAUGACGGCCUUCGGGUUGUAAACCGCUUUCGCCUGUGACGAAGCGUGAGUGACGGUAAUGGGUAAAGAAGCACCGGCUAACUACGUG
rnacentral:rRNA from 1 species